GAAUAUGCCCUUCACUACGGAAUAGCCUCGGGAAACUGGGAGUAAUACCGUAUACGCCCUUUUGGGGAAAGAUUUAUCGGUGAAGGAUUAGCCCGCGUCUGAUUAGAUAGUUGGUGGGGUAAUGGCCUACCAAGUCGACGAUCAGUAGCUGGUUUGAGAGGAUGAUCAGCAACACUGGGACUGAGACACGGCCCAGACUCCUACGGGAGGCAGCAGUGGGGAAUCUUAGACAAUGGGCGCAAGCCUGAUCUAGCCAUGCCGCGUGAGUGACGAAGGCCUUAGGGUCGUAAAGCUCUUUCGCCAGAGAUGAUAAUGACAGUAUCUGGUAAAGAAACCCCGGCUAACUCCGUGCCAGCAGC
rnacentral:rRNA from 1 species